ensembl:lncRNA
AGGAAUUGAACCCACAUCUCUGAUGUCUCCUACAUUGCAGGCAGGUUCUUUACCCACUGAGCCACCUGGAAAGCCCAGGGGGCUCUUGUGAAGGUUAAAUAGAGAAUAGAUCAGCCCUUUGCAACACUGUGGCACAGACAGCAGUCCACACACACAUUCACACUCUCUCACACCCACACUCACGUAUUUACAUAUACCUUCACACAGAUUCAUACCCACACACACAUUCACACCUCUACGCUCACACACCACAUAUACAGAUUCAUGCACACAGUCUCACACACACUAACAUACACACACAUGCACACACCAAGGUCAGAUUCUCAGAGGAACUCAAUGAUGGUGGCUCUCCUCUCCUGGCUGAAAUGAUUUUAUCAAGUCCCUCCCUCCCUCAGCCUAGGAUGUCCCCCUCUUACCAACUUUGGGGAAUCCAACACGCCAGCCUGGUUUCCAGCAUCUCUUCCUUAUACCCCACCUGGUCUAUUUAAGGACACUUUCUGCUCUUCCCCAGCCCAGACUUGACUCUCCAGCCAGGCUGGUGUCCCUAUCCCACCAAAUACCAGGUGGAGCUGCCUUUGGCUGCCCUGGCCCCACAGAGAGUCACCCUUCCUUCGUCCAGUGACUAAGUGUCCCCCCAGCCUGAGCUCCCCACACCAGAUCUUCAUUUCCUAUCUCUGGAAUCCAGCCCUGGGACAAGGGGCACUGAAGCCCACAGGAUCACAGGGAACUGAAGUCUGUAUUUCACUGAACUUUUACUUCUUCUGAAGAUGGAUGCUAUGAUGUCCAUUUAACAGAUAAGAAAACUGAGGCUCAGAGACAUGAAGAGAUAAGGUCAAGAUUGCUCAUUCAGCCAAUAAUUAUUUCUCAGGCUCCUGCUGUGAAGCUGGCCCUGUGCAAAAUUCUGAGGAUAAAAUGUUGACAGACGAUAGCCACACCCUUGUGAGCUCCUGGGGUGUGAGGAAGCCAGAGCACUGGUAGCAAUCCCGACACUGCUGGAGCACCACUAGAACAAGAGGAUGUCAACUUGCAAUUUCAGGAAAUGAUAAAACAUGAUGCAAAUACAGAAUGACAAAGUUAAACUCGGGUGUACUUCCCACAGAAUUAACUGAUCCUUUAGCGGGUCUUUUAAACAACGGUAUUGAAAGGAAACGCCACCUUAUUUGCCUCAUUUCUAAGUUUUGGACACUUUGUCCUAUAGCAGAAAGUCAUAGGCCUCUCAGCCUGCACAGAGCAGAGAAGCUUUCUGGAGGGGAAAUUCCUGAGCUGAGCCCUAAAGGAUGAGUAAGAAUGAGCCAGAGGAAGAGGGUGUGGAGGCACUGGGUAAGGCUAUGCCUUCCCUGUGUGGGCUGGCCCAGUGUUACUCCCCCCAUGUCGCCCUGCUCUGGCAACACCAAUCACUUGACAGUUGCUGGCGGGACCACGGGGCCUUUGCACAUGCUGUUCUCCUGCCAGGAGCACUUGCGGGAUCUUUCCUGCUAGUCCUCUAAAUCAAAGAGGGCUUGGGUUCCUUUGUUGACACCACAGUAACAAUCCUGUCCACAGCUUCUCCUUUGCAGCCCUGGUCACAGUUUGUAGUAUAUACUGACCUUGUG